AAUGAACGCUGGCGGCGUGCUUAACACAUGCAAGUCGAACGAGAAAGGCGGUGCUUGCACUGCCGAGUAUAGUGGCGCACGGGUGAGUAACAUGUGGAUAAUCUACCUUUGAAUCAGGAAUAACUGUUCGAAAGGGCAGCUAAUACCGGAUAAUGUCUUGUAGUCUUUGGAUUAUGAGAUGAAAGGGAGCCUCGCAAGGGGCCUCUGUUUGAAGAUGAGUCCGCAUACCAUUAGUUAGUUGGUGGGGUAAAGGCCUACCAAGACGAUGAUGGUUAGCUGGUCUGAGAGGAUGAUCAGCCACACUGGAACUGACACACGGUCCAGACUCCUACGGGUGCAG
rnacentral:rRNA from 1 species